UGUGUUUGCAUGUUAACAGAAGUUCAUUGAAUAUGAAGAUGUCUUGGAGGCAGACAAGAAGGAGUUGCAGUCCAUGUUGGAGACUUUGGAGCUACAAACAAAACAACUCGAGCUGAAGACCAAGAACUAUGCUGACCAGAUCUCUCGUCUGGAAGAACGAGAAUCAGACAUGAAGAAAGAGUAUAACGCCCUUCACCAGCGGCAUACAGAGAUGAUACAAACAUAUGUGGAACACAUUGAGCGUUCAAAGAUGCAACAGACAGGCAGCAACCAGUCUGAAUCUACAGGCUGCGG